rnacentral:rRNA from 1 species
GACGAACGCUGGCGGCGUGCUUAACACAUGCAAGUCGAACGGAAAGGCCCUUCGGGGUACUCGAGUGGCGAACGGGUGAGUAACACGUGGGUGAUCUGCCCUGCACUUUGGGAUAAGCCUGGGAAACUGGGUCUAAUACCGGAUAGGACUACGGCCUGCAUGGGUUGUGGUGGAAAGCUUUUGCGGUGUGGGAUGGGCCCGCGGCCUAUCAGCUUGUUGGUGAGGUUAUGGCUCACCAAGGGGACGACGGGUAGCCGGCCUGAGAGGGUGACCGGCCACACUGGGACUGAGAUACGGCACAGACUCCUACGGGAGGGAGCGGUGGGGAAUAUUGCACAAUGGGCGCAAGCCUGAUGCAGCGACGCCGCGUGAGGGAUGACGGCCUUCGGGUUGUAAACCUCUUUCGCCAGGGACGAAGCGCAAGUGACGGUACCUGGAGAAGAAGGACCGGCCAACUACGUGCCAGCCGCCGCAGUAAAAC